AUGGGGGCUUUGAACCUCUUCCCAAACCUGUCGUCGAGCUGGGUCAAGCUCAUCCACGGCCAGGCGUGGCGCUUAUUGGUCCGGAGAGCGGGGCGUGGCUCAGUCAGCACCGGUCACGUACGUAAACCCACCAUGCACCAGCACCACACAUCACGGACGCCAGGGAGUUGCAAGAGGAUAAGGCAAUCGUGUCCCCGUGACUCCAUUUCCUACGGUACGCAUGCAGCUAGCACAGCCGGCCGAAGCUCUGCUCUCAGCUCGACAGCAAUGGCGAGAGCCUGCAAGUGCAGCCCCGCCUUGAGGCUGCUGCCGAACCCGAUCACGGCACAGCUCCCGAGCGGCAGGAGCCACGGAAGAUGCAGAUGCCUUGCCGUUCACGCGCAGCUCCCAGCCGAGGAUGCCGAUGAUUACCCCGCUGAGUCACCCAAAAGGGUCCAGGUUACACAGAGCCUCAGGAGGAGCCGCCGGAGGGGAGCCGCCGGGCGGCAGAGCCUGAUCUCCGUCGGGACGUCGCGCGGCGGAGGAGAUCAGUGGGGCAGCGACUUCGAGCUGACGCUCCGGCAGCUGAGGCUGGACGACCUGAUCGAGGACGGGCACAGCGACGCCGACGUCCUGGUGCACCUUCUGGUCCAGCAGCACACCCAGUUCGGAAUGUCGAUCAAAGGGCGAGUGGUCACAUCGCUCACCAAAAUAUGUGAUUCCUGCUCCGCCCCAUACUGCACAAAGAUUGAUGAGCAGUUCGACAUUACGGUGCUGUCUUCCUCCAGGAAAGAUCAGAGCGGUUUGCCUGAAAUCGGAGACAGCGAUCCGUCAGUCAUCUAUGUGAAGCCAGGAACAGAAAUCGAUAUCGACUCGUCAAUCCAAGAGACGAUACGACUAACAGCGUCAGCCAAGAGUUCAUGUUCGGAGGCGUGUGAGAAGUCUCCUGUCGUGUGGAAACGUGCUGGUAACCAGAAGAAGCGUUACAGCCAAACGUGGUCAAAACUUCUUGAUCUCAAGAGAACUCUGGAUAAGGCGCCCAGCUAA
rnacentral:rRNA from 1 species